CAUGACUUUGAUCUGCGUCCUCAUCUGGACUCUCCUCUGCUGCUGCUUCACAGAGUCCAGAGGCCAGUACACAGUGACUCAGCCUGGAGUAGUGAGGUCUGCUCUAGGAGGAUCAGUCACCAUCACAUGUAGGACCAGUCAGAAUGUUUAUAAUGGCUACUAUUUAGCCUGGUACCAACAGAGAUAUGGAGGAGUUCCUAAACUUCUCAUUUACUUCAUUAGCACUCGAGUAUCAGGGACACCAGAUCGUUUUUCAGGCAGUGGAUCAAACUCUGACUUCACUCUGACCAUCAGUGGAGUCCAGAAUGAAGAUGAUGCAGUUUAUUACUGUCAGAGUCUUCACUAUCCCAACAGUCAGUGGGUGUUCACACAGUGA